CGGGGGGCAGCAGGCGCGAAAACUUCACAAUGCGGGAAACCGCGAUGGGGGUAUUCCAAGUGCUAUUACUUUGUAAUAGCUUUUCACCUGCCUAAAAAGCUGGUGGAAUAAGGGCUGGGUAAGUCUGGUGCCAGCCGCCGCGGUAAUACCAGCAGCUCAAGUGGUGAUCCUUAUUAUUGGGCCUAAAGCGUUCGUAGCUGGUUUGGUUAGUCUUUGGUGAAAUCCAUGCGCUCAACGUAUGGGCGAGCCAGAGAUACUAUCAAGCUUGAGACCGGGAGAAGUAAGGAGUAUUCCUAGGGUAAGGGUAAAAUCUUGUAAUCCUGGGAGGACUACCGGUGGCGAAGGCGCCUUACUAGAACGGGUCUGACAGUGAGGGACGAAAGCUGAGGGAGCGAACGGGAUUAGAUACCCCGGUAGUCUCAGCUGUAAACUCUGCAUGUUAGGUGUUGCGCAUCGUUCGUCGGUGUGCAGUGCCGAAGCGAAGGCAUUAAACAUUCUG
rnacentral:rRNA from 1 species